GAUUUCAACUGAAAAAGUCAUCAACAACAAAGUUGUAUAACUCAUCAAUAUCUAUAACUUUUAUUUUGGUCAUUUCUUUAUCGGACAAAGUGAAAGUAACAUUGUUCAUAAAAUUUAUAUAUCUCACUUAUAGGCUAUAAUACCAUAUAAGAGUUAUGUAAAUUUUAUGAUCAAUGUUACUAUCACUUUGUCGGAUGAAGAAAUGACCAAAAUAAAAGUUAUAGAUAUUGAUGAGUUAUACAACUUUGCUGUUGACUACUUUUUCAGUUGAAAUC
rnacentral:pre_miRNA from 1 species